rnacentral:lncRNA from 1 species
AUGCUUUCAGAGCGCGCGGCUCGCGCUGUUCCCGGGCAGCGCUGUCUUGCUGGGGUAAUCGCAGCGAAGCAGCCUCAUAAAUUGUUGAUGGCAACGGGGACCCUCUCUAGCAAAUACCAAUUUGCUGGCUGCGAGCUGCGGGCGAGCGUGCCGCCGGGCUGGGCUGGCACCCGGGUCCCCGUCCUGCUGCCAUCGCCCGCCCGCGUGGCACGGGGACAUGGGGACGCUGCGGGAGCAGGGUGGGGGCAUCCCCAGCUGCGGGGUCCCCUCUGCCCCGAGCCUCGUCCCAAGUCCCAUCCCUGCUCCCCGCGGUCCCCGGGUGGGUUUGGGGCCCUGGCUGCCACCCUGGGUUGGGGACACGCACGGGGCUCCGUCCUUGAGGCCACCACCUCCACCAGCCACCCGCGUCCCUGCCCUGAGACGCGGCCGGCUUUAGCAGAAAGCCCCAAAUUGCCAGAGCCUAAAAUAGCUUCUGCUCCUCGGCAGAUGGGGCGGGAGGACGGGGAAGUGCCAGGGUCGAUCACGUCUCCGCUCCGCCGCGUCCCCCGCCAGCCGCGGCACCCGCCCGCUGCACGGGCAGGAUGGCACCCGCGGGCUGCGUGUCCCCCCACCCCCCCGCUCCCGGUUUUGGGGACGCGGCGACACCGCCGGGAGCGCCGCGCUCGGCCCCGUGCCUCGGUUUCCCCACGCUGGCGGUGCCCGAGGUCCAUCCGUGGCGCCGUCUGGGUGGUUUUGGGGCCGGCCGCGACGCUUGCGCUUUUUUUCCAUCCCAUUGCCUCGUGCCGGGUGACAAGUGGCUCGGGGCGCCGGCACCGGGGCGGUGACAGCACGGUGACAGCGUGGGGCAGAGGGGACGCGGGCGGCGGCGUGGAUGCAGCCAGCAGCGUGUCCCAGGGAUGGGGACGGGGACGGGGACAGGGCGAUGGGGACGGGGACGGGGACAGAGCGAUGGCCCCGGCUGCAGCAGCCACCCGCGGCCCCGUCCUCCCUCCUGUCUCUUCCUUUCCGCUCUGCCGGGCAGGGCCACAAGGAAGCCAAAUCCUCUUUUCUCUCCCGCAGAAUAAAACCAGUGGAGGGUGGUUUUUAUUUUUUUUAUUUUUUUUUUUCCUCCCCGUGUAUUUUUUUUUUCCCCCCCCAAUAUAA